CCGUAUUAAGAAGGGGAUGGACUUAUCCUCUACUGCGAGAGUUACCUAGAGCAUCUGUGACGGUCCUGUAGGCUUCCGAGGCGAUCGGGCAGUGUCAGUCUUCAGCUGCUAAGCCGAGAAGAUCUGGGAAGGAGUCAGUCAGAGAGCCUUGGGCCAGAGUUCCAGGGGCUCUGGAACUGGCUGCCAGAAGUGCAGUUUGGAGAGGAAAGAAGCCGUAUCUCAGUCCUUUCACCAAUAGCUGAUGUAAUCUCAAGAGAGUUGCAUUUCCCACAGUGGAGACUUCACACAUCACAGCUAAAUCCUCCAAGACGACUCGGCUGUGGAAUCCUAAUGAAGAAUGCAAUAGGUUGCUUAUGAGCAGGAGCUCAUGCAAUUCCUCUCCAGAGGUGGAAGGCCGAGAACCCUGCUUGGGCCGUGGUGGGUGGCGUGAGGAGCUCACAGCGGAGCCUUAGGAGGCCAUUCUGUGUGGAUUUGUAUCACCGCCCUUUUCAUCAAUGACUCCAAGAAGGAGCUGCAAGUACCACAGGCUUCCAGAUCUUCAGGUGUGGCCUGGGACAGUGUGCGUGCCUGUAUUCUCAGCUACUCGGGAGGCUGAGGAGGGAGGAUCACUUUGAGGCCAGGAGUUUGAGGCUGCAGUAAGCUAGUGUCACACCACUGCAUUCUAGCCUGGGUGACAGAGACCUCAUCUCUAAAACAAACAAACAAAUAAAACAGCUGUGGAGGACGCACCUGCUGGUAGCUCCCUGUUUACCAUAUUCUGCCCACUGGGGUCUCUUUCAGACCCUCAAGCAAUCUCUUUCCUGCCCUGAGGCCUUUGCACAGCUGCUCCCUCUGCCCGAAUUGACUCACCCUGGGAGGGGUAGUCCCUCCAGGAUCAGCAAGACCCCAGAGCAAAUGCAUCAGAAGUAUCACAAAUAAAGGGCGUGCUUAGUCCAGAGACCUUCCCAUAAGCACUCCAUGUCUCUAUAAUGUUUAUCAUAUUUCCUCUCUCUCCUCUAGUUUUGUCAGUUUCCUACACUAGAACACAAGGUCUGGGGGAAGGGGCCACAUGUGUGUUUACUAAUGCAUUCUGUGUCUAACUGCUGUCUGGAACUUAGUAGAUGCCAUUUUUUCUUUUUUUUCUGUGAGAUGGAGUCUCACUCUGUGGCCCAGGCUGGAGCGCAGUGGCGCGAUCUCAGCUCACUGCAAGCUCCGUCUCCUGGGUUCACGCCAUUCUCCUGCCUCAGCCUCCUGAGUAGCUGGGGCUACAGGUGCCCGCCACCGCACCCGG
rnacentral:lncRNA from 1 species